rnacentral:tRNA from 1 species
UCCUGGUGGCUCAGAUGGUAAAGAAUCUGCCUGCAAUGCAGAAGACCCAGGUUUGAUCCCUGGCACAGGAA